rnacentral:tRNA from 1 species
UAGAAAGUGGUGUAGUGGAAGCACGGGGAGUUUUGAUUUCCCAGGGAUAAGUUCAAUUCUUAUUUUUCUAA